rnacentral:tRNA from 42 species
GGAGGGUUCGCCUAGUGGCCGAUGGCGCUGGUCUUGAAAACCGGUAAGGCAGCGAUGUCUUCGUGGGUUCGAAUCCCACACCCUCCGCCA